GCAAGCACAAGCAUACGGGGUAUAGGGCUUUGAGCCUCAACAGAUCGAUCACACCACAGACCUCCAGUCUCGUCAUUUUCCUGAGACGAACCAAUUUCUAGCUUGUCACCGAUAUUAUCGCAGUUGGGUGCCCCUCGAAGUUGCGUUGUGAUUCGGGAAGGAGUAAUUCAAGAGAUAUAAGUAGCGAGGUUCAUUUUGUUGUUUUUCUGGUUUUGUUUUGGAAGACGAUACAAAUGGGUGUUGCAAUGGAACUAGGAGAGGAGGUGGUGCUGCUGUAUGACGGAGGCAAGGUUGGGGUCACUCGCUUUUCGGAGGCGCUUGUACCGGAAGCAUCUCCUCCGCUGCAGCGUGUCGUAUGCAAUCUUCCCUGGAAAGAUCCCAACGGAGAAGUGUUAACUAAGAGUGAGGUUGUUAACUUCAAAGAUAACGCUGGCUUGACUAAGGUAUCCUUGAUCGUCUUUCGUCAAGAAGUCACUUCAUCCGCUUGUGGACGUGUUGUGCACGAUCUUUUCGAGUAUCUGCUAUCAAAUGCCCCGAUCCAAUCACCCGGCUUCAGCCUCGUAGUUCCAGCUAUUUCACGAAUGCCAGGGUCAGUUCUGAACAUGGACACAGGUAACAAUGCAAACAUUUACGCAGCUUUUUUUAACAGAACUUCAGAAGGCUCUGGCAACCUGGACGGUCUGCCGAAGCUACCCUCAACAUUUGCUGUGCGAGAUGGGUUCCUGGCAUACGUGUUUCACUAUGUGCAUGCUACGCAAUUGCCAACCUUAGUGUUGGUAAGUCCAAGUACUGAAGGGGUAACUGCUCAAAAGAAUGAAUCCAACGAGGUGCUACUCGCUCUUGGUGAUGUUGUUGGAAGACAAAUCGGACUCACGUGUUCGAAGCAAGAACUGAACCAUGUCACUAGUUUAAUACCCUUGGCGAGUAGUAUGGAAGACGACUGGCGCAGGUUGUAUAUUUAAAUCAUGCAGAUAUAGGUGGAGAGACGUUUGUAUUUUGCUUCUUGGAAAUAUAAUCAGAAAGUGGUUCAGGCAAACAUUUGAAGCAUGCAAUUGUUGAAGAAUGUCUACCUGACGGCGAGCAUCAUCAAAUGAAAAGCAGGCUGGAAAGGAAAGAGGUCAUGCAUCUUCUCGCACACCUACUUAAGCCUCUUCCCAAUUGCUUCAUAUCAGCAACCUGUUUGUUUUCCUAUCGAUAUAAAAUUUUCAAUGAUCAGACUGAUCCGAAGCAGAACGUUGUCCUUUUCUUCGGCCAUAGACAGUAUCACCACGCCGUCACUACCGGGGCCAAGUUGGUCUGUAUCGAUGAAAGCAGGGUUGACGAGAGGAGAGAAAGUACUUGAACCUCUUAUUGUGCUUAUAGCUGAUGGUCAAAAUGGGUUCUAAACCUUGGAUUCCUCAAUGUUUCUCGUCGAGUGAACAUGCCUUGAUCUUCAGAUUGAUUGGCAAAAGUGGAGAGAUUAUUCAGGAGAAGGACAAUCUGGACCGUAUCUUUGCGAAGCUAGAGGAUCCUACUCAUGGAUUUGUUCAACAUUCUUGCUCUGAACCUCGCAUCAUGCACUUAUGGUGCUUCAGAGUCAUACCAGUCUUUGACACGCUUGUCAGAACCUGUUCACUGACAACUCCAUGUACUUCUAAAAAUACCGAUAUCAUUCUUCCAAA